UUUUGAUGUUAGUUUGAUUCUGGCUAGUUAAUGUUAGAUUUAUAGAAUAUUUACAUGUGAGUUUUAGCAUUAAUAUUUAUUUAGUUAAUCUUUUUAAUUUUGUUGGCAGUAUUUGGUAUUAUUUAUUGAGUUAUUUCUGAUUUAGUUAUUUAUAUUUUAUGUUGUAUAUUUUUGUGCCAGCAUACGCGGUUAUACAAUUUACAUUAUUUAAUAUUAUUGGUUUAAUUGAAGUUAAGAUUUAUUUUUGAGAUUAUUUUUUUUGUUUUUGGGUGAAAUUUUAAAUAUUUUUAAAUUCUUUUUUCGAUUCUUUUAAAUUUAAAAAUUAAAUUAGGAUUAGAUACCCUAUUAUUUUGAAUGUAAAGUUUUACCUGGGUAGUAUUAGUUAUUUUCUUUAAACCCAAAGAAUUUGGCGGUGUUUUAUUCCAUUCAGAGGAACUUGUCCUAUAAUCGAUAGUCCUCGUUUUAUCUUACUUUAAUUUAAUUAGUAUGUAUACCGCCGUUAUAAGUUUAUUUUUUUAGAUUUUAUUUACUAUUAAUUUUAUUAAAUUUUAUUUCAGGUCAAGGUGCAGCUUAUAAUUAAGUGGUGGUGAGUUACAAUAUUAUUUCAAUAAAUGGAUUCUUCUUUGAAAUUUUUGAUGAAAGUGGAUUUGAUAGUAAUUAUUUUCAUAAAGUUAUUUUGAUUUUGGCUCUAGAACAAGUACAUAUCGCCCGUCACUCUCAAUUUAUUUGAGAUAAGUCGUAACAAAGUAGGCGUACUGGAAGGUGUGCCUGGGAUGGU
rnacentral:ncRNA from 1 species